AUGGGGCCCUCCUCUUACCAAGACCAAGAACAGCAGGACAAGCUGGGGGCAGCUCCUGGAGCUCAGGGGAGCAGGGGAGAGCAUCUGAGGGUGAGCAGGGCCAGCGGGAGGCAGGACCAGCUGGGGCAGCUCCUGGAGCUCAGGAGCCCGGGGCAGAGCAGCUGCAGCUCCUGGAGCUCAGGGGAGCAGGGGAGAGCAUCUGAAGCCUCCAACAAGAAACCAGACGUCUUCCCCCUGACGCCCUGCUGCAACUCUGGGACCACAACGGCCCUGGGCUGCCUGGUCAAGGACUACUUCCCCCAGCCGGUGACCGUGUCCUGGAACUCGGGCUCCCUGACCAGCGGCGUGCACACCUUCCCGGCUGUCCUGCAGUCCUCAGGGCUUUACUCCCUCAGCAGCAUGGUGACCACCAGCAGUGCGGGCAGCCAGACCUACACCUGCAACGUCGUCCACACACCCACCAACUUCAAGAAGGACGUGACAGUGAAACGCGCCUGCAACACACCCUGUCCCCCAUGCCCAGCACCUGAUUUCCUGGCGGGACCGUCAGUCUUCCUCUUCCCCCCGAAACCCAAGGACAUCCUCAGGAUCACCGGGAGCCCUGAGGUCACGUGCGUGGUAGUGGACGUGAGCCAGGACGACCCCGAGGUCCAGUUCAACUGGUACGUGGACGGCGUGGAGGUGCGCACUGCCAAGACAAGUCCGAAGGAGGAGCAGUUCAACAGCACGUACCGCGUGGUCAGCGCGCUCCCCGUCCUGCACCAGGACUGGCUGAAGGGCAAGGAGUACAAAUGCAAGGUCACCAACAAAGCCCUCCCGGCCCCCGUCCAGAAAACCAUCCACAAAGCCAAAGGGACGCCCCGAGAGCCGCAGGUGUACACCCUGCCCCCAUCGCGGGAGGAGAUGAGCAGGAGCCAGGUCAGCCUGACCUGCCUGAUCCAGGGCUUCUACCCCAGCGACAUCGCCGUGGAGUGGGAGAGCAACGGGCAGCCGGAGAACAACUACAAGAACACACAGCCUGUGCUGGACUCGGAUGGCUCCUUCUUCCUCUACAGCAAGCUCACCGUGGACAAGCACAGGUGGCAGCAGGGGACCGUCUUCUCAUGCUCCGUGAUGCAUGAGGCUCUGCACAACCACUACACGCAGAAGAGCCUCUCCGCGUCUCCGGAGCUGAUACUAGAGGAGAGCUGUGUGGAGACGCAGGACGGGGAGCUGGACGGGCUCUGGACGACCAUCACCAUCUUCAUCACACUCUUCCUGCUGAGCGUGUGCUACAGUGCCACCGUCACCUUCUUCAAGGUGAAGUGGAUCUUCUCCUCGGUGGUGGACCUGAAGCAGACCAUCGUCCCCGACUACAGGAACAUGAUCGGGCAGGGGGCCUAGGGCCACCCUCUGCUGGAAGUCCAGGGCUGCCCAGACCCCACACAGGAGCCAUGGGCCAUGCUCAGCCGCCACCCAGGCCAUGCCUCCCCUGACCUCGCCGCCCUCGACCCCAUGGCUCUCCGGCCUCGCAGUCACCCUCUGACCUGCCAUACCUGAUGUGCCCCCCUUUGAGCCUGUGCAUAGCAGGUCUGUCCCAGAUUUCUGCUGCUUGGUGCGUGCAGGGCGCUGGGGCCAGGUGUCCCGUCAGCAGGACACCUCUACCCUCCAGCCCCCCAGCUGCUCACACAAAAGGGGGCAGCAGCCAGCAUCCCAGGCGCCCACCCAGACAGGAACCAGCCUGGAGCCAAUCCCGUCCACACCAGCCUCCUGAACACAGGCGUGGCCAGUGGGAGCUUCCACCACCAAGCCAGGAAGUCACAGCACCCUCGGGCCCUGCUGGGGAGGCUUCGGAGAGUGGAGAAUGCUCAGACGGCCUUCCUCCCGGCCGGUGGCCAGCCAGGCUCCAUUCUGGGCAGUCCCGUGAACUCCUGACAUGAGGAAUGAGGUUAAAGAACCCUGUUCUCUGGCUCCCGGGAAGACGCCUCCCAUGGAGCAGGGUCUCAGGUGCCAGCACCACCUCUUGGCUGCCUGCUCACGCUACUGCAUUCUCAGGACUGGAACUCAACCCGAAGGGACAGACAGCCCCAGAGUCUGCACUGGGAAGAGAAGGGGCCGGGCCCAGGACACUGCCACCUCCCACCCCACCCCACCCCACCAAGACCACUCGGAGAAGAGCCUGGGCCACGCGGCCACUGCAGCAGCCCCCACACCGUGCGAGGCCAGGGCAGCCCAGAGAAGAGGUGGGCAUCGGCCAGACAGGCCUACCUAGAGGGCCUGGUGACCAGGUCCCAGUUGGGCAAGAAUCAGCCUUGGUGGGGCCUGAGGACAGAGGAGGCCCAGGAGCACUGGGGAGAGACGUGUAGGGACGCCAGGGGAGCCAGGAGCAGAGGCACAGCCGGAAUCAUCCCUGAGGCUGAGUCCAGCCCCAGGGCACCUGCAGCAGGACCCAGCAGCCACUCUGGAGGCACGAGGCGGACGGGCAAGACCACAGAGAGGGUGCCGUGGCCUUGGGAGGCUAGGGCUGCUGGCCACGAGGGCUGCACAGAGGCCACCAUGCCCUGCUGCCCCCAUCACGCCUUUGGGCAAAUGUCAGGCAGAAUCCGCAGACAGGAAGAGACACGCGCGGGAGUGUGGCCGGCACCUGCCUCGGCCGUCGGGGGGACUCCCCGCCUCACUGGAAGGAGGUGCCAUGGUCUCAGCUUUGGUAGCUUUUGUUCUUUUAAAUUUUCUAAAGCCCAUUGAUUGUCUUGAAUGUUUCUUUUUAAUGACAAUAAAAUAUCCUUUUUAAGUCUUA